UCUGACGUAGGUUGCUUUUAACUCUAGGGAAGAAGGGACAGAUGGCCUGUGUUGGAGGGACUUGCAGGGGUAGGAAAGAAAAGAAAUAAGAAAAAAAGGAAGAAAAAAAACCGAAGACCCCCUCCUCUAAUUUCUGGGUCCUCAACUGACACCCCUUAGCCUAUCCACUACCCCCUAACCCAGCCUGGCCUACUGUGGAAGAAAAUAAGCAACAAAUGGAAGAAGCAUUGCAAAUGGAAAUCAAUAAGCAGUUUACUAGGUUCUCUGGACCUUCUUUCGGAUGCUUCCAGUUCCACAAAAUAGGCACUAAAAAAUUCAUUUUCUUAUGUCAGAGUCCCAGUUAUCAUUGUUAUGGUUUUGAGAAAGCUAUGAACUUUGCUUAUAUAAAUACUGAACAUUUUUCUUAAGGUUCUGCCUCUAGUACCAUGUUGCUGAAGUACCAGCCCUGGCUGGUAUACUCUGCAAACUUCUGACUUUCUAGUUUGACCCCCUAAAAAUAAAAACUUGGAAUCCUGAAUUUAAAAAAA